UCGAGAUUGAAAGUGUCGAGCCUAUCACGAAGACGGCCGCUCAAUCAAUCCGAUACAAGGAUCGUCACCGUCGCGUCGCUCGUGCGCACAAUCUUUUCUUUUGAUGUUGAGGGAGGCGGGCUUAAUGAAUACGCGCGCAUGAUAUAGUAACGAUUGAAUGUCAAAUUUGAUCGGAUCGACCUAUCACGAAGACGGUCGUGUUGAUCAAACCGACAUAAAAUCGCGACUAUAUCGUUUACACGUAUACAACGACCCGUCGCCAUCGU
rnacentral:lncRNA from 1 species